rnacentral:tRNA from 8 species
CAAGAUAUAGCUUAACUAAAGCAUCCAGUUUACACCUAGAAGAUUUCACACACAUGAAUAUCUUGA